CGGGGAAUUUUGGACAAUGGGCGAAAGCCUGAUCCAGCAAUGCCGCGUGUGUGAAGAAGGCCUUCGGGUUGUAAAGCACUUUUGUCCGGAAAGAAAUCCUUGGCUCUAAUACAGUCGGGGGAUGACGGUACCGGAAGAAUAAGCACCGGCUAACUACGUGCCAGCAGCCGCGGUAAUACGUAGGGUGCAAGCGUUAAUCGGAAUUACUGGGCGUAAAGCGUGCGCAGGCGGUUUGCUAAGACCGAUGUGAAAUCCCCGGGCUCAACCUGGGAACUGCAUUGGUGACUGGCAGGCUAGAGUAUGGCAGAGGGGGGUAGAAUUCCACGUGUAGCAGUGAAAUGCGUAGAGAUGUGGAGGAAUACCGAUGGCGAAGGCAGCCCCCUGGGCCAAUACUGACGCUCAUGCACGAAAGCGUGGGGAGCAAACAGGAUUAGAUACCCUGGUAGUCCACGCCCUAAACGAUGUCAACUAGUUGUUGGGAUUCAUUCCUUAGUAACGUAGCUAACGCGUGAAGUUGACCGCCUGGGGAGUACGGUCGCAAGAUUAAAACUUAAAGGAAUUGACGGGGUC
rnacentral:rRNA from 1 species